AAUCAACGCUGGCGGCGUGCCUAACACAUGCAAGUCGAACGAGAAAGUGGAGCAAUCCAUGAGUAAAGUGGCGCACGGGUGAGUAACACGUGACUAACCUACCCUGGAGUGGGGGAUAACUGAGGGAAACCUUAGCUAAUACCGCAUAAUACCUACGGGUCAAAGGAGCAAUUCGCUUUAGGAGGGGGUCGCGGCAGAUUAGCUAGUUGGCGGGGUAAUGGCCCACCAAGGCAGUGAUCUGUAUCCGGCCUGAGAGGGCGCACGGACACACUGGAACUGAAACACGGUCCAGACUCCUACGGGAGGCAGCAGUGGGGAAUUUUGCGCAAUGGGGGAAACCCUGACGCAGCAACGCCGCGUGGAGGAUGAAGUCCCUUGGGACGUAACUCCUUUCGAUAGGGAAGAUAAUGACGGUACCUAUAGAAGAAG
rnacentral:rRNA from 1 species